rnacentral:rRNA from 1 species
AGUGGACGCUGGCGGUAGGCCUAACACAUGCAAGUCGAACGGCAGCACAGUAAGAGCUUGCUCUUACGGGUGGCGAGUGGCGGACGGGUGAGGAAUACAUCGGAAUCUACUUUUUCGUGGGGGAUAACGUAGGGAAACUUACGCUAAUACCGCAUACGACCUACGGGUGAAAGCAGGGGAUCUUCGGACCUUGCGCGAUUGAAUGAGCCGAUGUCGGAUUAGCUAGUUGGCGGGGUAAAGGCCCACCAAGGCGACGAUCCGUAGCUGGUCUGAGAGGAUGAUCAGCCACACUGGAACUGAGACAAGGUCCAGACUCCUACGGGAGGCAGCAGUGGGGAAUAUUGGACAAUGGGCGCAAGCCUGAUCCAGCCAUACCGCGUGGGUGAAGAAGGCCUUCGGGUUGUAAAGCCCUUUUGUUGGGAAAGAAAAGCAGCAGGUUAAUACCCCGCUGUUCUGACGGUACCCAAAGAAUAAGCACCGGCUAACUUCGUG